rnacentral:lncRNA from 1 species
CCGCACCAUCAUGCCAUCCACCGCCGCGGGCAGAGGGCACUGGGCUGCGGCGGCCGGAGCCCCGGCGGCGCGGAGCGGGCCCGGGGGCCACAGAAUGCAAGAGGCUCUUCGGGUCGCGGUGAGGGGCUGCAGCUUUCGGCCUCUUGGAGGGCUUGCAGGAACCAUGAACCGGGGCAGAGCAAACUCACAGACUGCGCUCCUCGUCGCCGGAGUGCCAGGAAAGUCCCUUCCGCUGGGCUGCUGCUGCCGCCGCCGCCGCCUUCCUGGGCAUGGCCCGGUCCGACUGCCGGGGCAGGGGGGGGUCGGGAGAGGGAAGCUGGGAGAAACUGAAAGGAAGGGCGGGGGCCGAAAGGCAGAGGGGAAAACACCCGCUUCCUCUCCCCGCGCGGCUUCACCUCGGGGCACGGCCGUGGGUGCACCGCCGCCCGCUCGCCCGCCGGGGCCGCUGGAAGCUUUUCCUCUUCCCGUCCGCGCCUCGCCCCCGGGCUCGCCACCGCCGCCUCGGCCGUAACCUCCCUGGAGCCUAUAGAAAUCUUUUGUGUGGCGUCACCGCCUUUCGUUUAAAUCCCGCUUCCUCCUCUCGCCCUUCCUCCCGCCCCCUCCGCCGCUCCCGGAUGCUUGCGCGAUGCGCUGCUCCUCCCCCGGGAAGCUGGGUGGCUGCGGGAGGACGCCCCCGCCCAGCGCUGACUCCGCGGGCGCCGGGCCGGUGGUCCCCGGCUGAGAUGCGGGGGAGCGGGCAGGAGGGAGGCCCGUCCGGGCCGGGGGCUCAGCGCCCACCCUUGGGAGACCCGGGCGCAGCCGCCGGUUGGGCUUACGUAAGCUCUAAGCCCGACCCGGGGGCUCCGCGCUUCCUCCCCGCCCAGGGAGCAAGUCUCAAAGGUGGCCUGUUUUCUGGACCGAAGGGAGGACGCUUGGCACCAUCGCCGAGUGGUGUGCUGGGGUCCAGUCAUCGCGUUUUGUGGGCUGUCGAUCGGUCGGCCAGGCUCUCCUCCGCCCUUUGUUGUGUUUGCUCCUCUUCCAGGGUGCGAUCCUGGAGGGACUGUGCGGGUGAGCAAAGAGCCCUGGAGAUGGGAGUCUGGGAAGAGCAGAGCUGGCCGCUGGCGGCUUCCUCCCUUCAGCUCAAUAGCCUUUAUAUAGUUAGAGCGUGAGCUUUGAACCAGAUUUUUUUUUUCCUGGGGUCAGUCUUCCCCAGCCAUGUAUGAGUUGUGUGACCUUAUACAAGUUCUCUCUCCAAGUCUCCGUUUUCUCCUUUGGAAAUUAGAUACUGUGCACUGACUGCCUGAGUACUUGGCUCAUAAUGUAGCUCUGAGAAUUAUGAGCCUGUACUGGCACAGUCUGCCCUCCCAUAACUUAUGUGUCGUCAGCUGCAUAAUGAAAGAAUACUGACCAACAGUUAAAUAAGAGAAGCAGCCUUCGGAGGUAAACACCCCCAUUUUACAGACUAGGAAAGUGUUGGUCAGAUGCCUCACGUGCCUUCCCAAGGUCAGGAAGAUAGCAAAUGCGAUGGCAAGAAGCCAACCGCAGACUUCUUUCUCANNNNNNNNNNNNNNNNNNNNNNNNNNNNNNNNNNNNNNNNNNNNNNNNNNNNNNNNNNNNNNNNNNNNNNNNNNNNNNNNNNNNNNNNNNNNNNNNNNNCAACCGCAGACUUCUUUCUCAUUUGACCCAGCCCUUGCUCUUCAGGAAGUGCUAGAAGCAUCCAGGCUUUCCUCAUCCCCCAAACCUGCCAGGAUUCCAGGGGUCCCCCGACUUCUUAGCCCUGAAACAGGCCAUCUAGGUGCCCAGCACAGCACAAGCUGGGUGUUUUCAGCCAAUGGAAAUGUUUGUUCUUCUGCCCCUUUCUAGAACCUAGUGUCACCUUUUUCCAGCCAGUUGUCACUUGUAACUGGGAUGGAUGACCUUGCAAUUUAUUGUCCAAACAGAAGCAGUUUUGAGACUAACUGUGAGAUGUGUUACUAAUAAAUUAACCAGUAACAACAGCAGAGAAGGCGAUGGCACCCCACUCUAGUACUCUUGCCUGGAAAAUC